rnacentral:lncRNA from 1 species
AGAAAAGAAGGUGCCUGAAGCUAUUCCUCCCAAACCGGAAAGUCCUCCCCCUGAAGUGCCUGAAGUGCUGCCACCGAAGGAAGUGGUCCCAGAAAAGAAAGUACCGGUGCCUCCUGCCAAAAAGCCAGAAGCUCCACCUCCUAAAGUGCCUGAGGCUCCCAAAGAAGUUGUUCCUGAAAAGAAAGUGCCAGUGCCUCCUCCUAAAAAGCCUGAAGUGCCACCCACAAAAGUCCCAGAGGUGCCAAAGGCAGCUGUCCCAGAAAAGAAGGUGCCUGAAGCUAUUCCUCCCAAACCGGAAAGUCCUCCCCCUGAAGUGCCUGAAGUGCUGCCACCGAAGGAAGUGGUCCCAGAAAAGAAAGUACCGGUGCCUCCUGCCAAAAAGCCAGAAGCUCCACCUCCUAAAGUGCCAGAGGCUCCCAAAGAAGUUGUUCCUGAAAAGAAAGUGCCAGUGACUCCUCCUAAAAAACCUGAAGUCCCACCUGUUAAAGUGCCAGAGGCUCCCAUAGAGGUUGUUCCUGAAAAGAAAAUGCCCUUGGCUCCUCCUAAAAAGCCUGAAGUCCCUCCUGUUAAAGUACCAGAGGCUCCCAAAGAGGUUGUUCCUGAAAAGAAAGUGCCCUCGGCUCCUCCUAAAAAGCCUGAAGUCCCACCUGUUAAAGUGCCAGAGGCUCCGAAAGAAGUUGUUCCUGAAAAGAAAGUGCCAGCGGCUCCUCCUAAAAAGCCUGAAGUCACACCUGUUAAAGUGCCUGAGGCUCCCAAAGAAGUUGUUCCUGAAAAGAAAGUGCCAGUGCCUCCUCCUAAAAAGCCUGAAGUGCCACCCACAAAAGUCCCAGAGGUGCCAAAGGUAGCUGUCCCAGAAAAGAAGGUGCCUGAAGCUAUUCCUCCCAAACCGGAAAGUCCUCCCCCUGAAGUGUUCGAGGAGCCUGAGGAAGUUGCCCUAGAAGAGCCUCCUGCUGAAGUUGUGGAAGAGCCAGAGCCAGCGGCGCCUCCACAAGUGACCGUACCACCUAAGAAACCUGUCCCAGAAAAGAAAGCACCUGCUGUCGUUGCCAAAAAACCUGAACUACCACCAGUGAAAGUGCCCGAGGUGCCCAAGGAGGUUGUUCCUGAAAAGAAGGUGCCUCUGGUGGUUCCCAAAAAGCCAGAAGCCCCACCUGCUAAAGUGCCUGAAGUUCCAAAAGAAGUUGUUCCAGAAAAGAAAGUAGCUGUUCCC